rfam:Strongylocentrotus purpuratus Contig89527_fixed, whole genome shotgun sequence.
AUGGCCUAGUGGUAGAGUCGCUGCCCGGCAAGCAGUAGAUGCAGGUUCAAGUCCCGCU